rfam:Ovis aries breed Texel chromosome 17, whole genome shotgun sequence.
GCCAGAUGAUGAGGACCUGUGCGGAAACCCCCCGCGGGCUGCCCAUGUCUGAGCCCCUGGC